rnacentral:misc_RNA from 1 species
AAAGACCCCUGAUGAGUAUCCCUUCAACUUAUUUCAUCAUCUUGAUGCCUCUGACUUUGCUCCAGAAGAGAAGCGUAGCCCUCUCCCUUCGCCCUUAUCUGUAAGGGUGUCGAAUUAUUCAUCGGAAGAUGAGAACGAUAGUGGAAUAAAUGGAGGUGUCGAUGAUGAAGCUGAGGAAUUCAUUCGAAGGUUUUAUGAGCAGCUAAGGUUACAAAGUCG